rnacentral:rRNA from 1 species
GGGUUGUGAGGUUAAGCGACUAAGCGUACACGGUGGAUGCCCUGGCAGUCAGAGGCGAUGAAGGGCGUGCUAAUCUGCGAUAAGCGCCGGUAAGGUGAUAUGAACCGUUAUAACCGGCGAUACCCGAAUGGGGAAACCCAGUGUGAUUCGUCACACUAUCAUUAACUGAAUCCAUAGGUUAAUGAGGCGAACCGGGGGAACUGAAACAUCUAAGUACCCCGAGGAAAAGAAAUCAACCGAGAUUCCCCCAGUAGCGGCGAGCGAACGGGGAGGAGCCCAGAGCCUGAAUCAGCAUGUGUGUUAGUGGAAGCGUCUGGAAAGGCGCGCGAUACAGGGUGACAGCCCCGUACACAAAAGCGCAUGUGCUGUGAGCUCGAUGAGUAGGGCGGGACACGUGGUAUCCUGUCUGAAUAUGGGGGGACCAUCCUCCAAGGCUAAAUACUCCUGACUGACCGAUAGUGAACCAGUACCGUGAGGGAAAGGCGAAAAGAACCCCGGCGAGGGGAGUGAAAAAGAACCUGAAACCGUGUACGUACAAGCAGUGGGAGCCCCACCACCAAAGCAUUCUCUGGUGUUGAAGGCCCUGCAAAGCAGCAUCGCGGUGGCGGAGCGUCGUUUGCGACGCCCAACACACAAAACAAGCGGUGAAUGCUUUGGGGUGGGGUGACUGCGUACCUUUUGUAUAAUGGGUCAGCGACUUAUAUUCUGUAGCAAGGUUAACCGAAUAGGGGAGCCGGAGGGAAACCGAGUCUUAAUUGGGCGUUAAGUUGCAGGGUAUAGACCCGAAACCCGGUGAUCUAGCCAUGGGCAGGUUGAAGGUUGGGUAACACUAACUGGAGGACCGAACCGACUAAUGUUGAAAAAUUAGCGGAUGACCUGUGGCUGGGGGUGAAAGGCCAAUCAAACCGGGAGAUAGCUGGUUCUCCCCGAAAGCUAUUUAGGUAGCGCCUCGUGAAUUCAUCUCCGGGGGUAGAGCACUGUUUCGGCUAGGGGGCCAUCCCGGCUUACCAACCCGAUGCAAACUGCGAAUACCGGAGAAUGUUAUCACGGGAGACACACGGCGGGUGCUAACGUCCGUCGUGAAGAGGGAAACAACCCAGACCGCCAGCUAAGGUCCCAAAGUCAUGGUUAAGUGGGAAACGAUGUGGGAAGGCCCAGACAGCCAGGAUGUUGGCUUAGAAGCAGCCAUCAUUUAAAGAAAGCGUAAUAGCUCACUGGUCGAGUCGGCCUGCGCGGAAGAUGUAACGGGGCUAAACCAUGCACCGAAGCUGCGGCAGCGAACGUAUCACUUAAAGCGAUUCAGCGGGUUACGAUUGACGGAGCGAAGCGACGUCAAAGCGUAUACAAAGUCGAGUCGGUUUAAGGAUACGUUCGUUGGGUAGGGGAGCGUUCUGUAAGCCCGUGAAGGUGGCCUGUGAGGGUUGCUGGAGGUAUCAGAAGUGCGAAUGCUGACAUAAGUAACGAUAAAGCGGGUGAAAAGCCCGCUCGCCGGAAGACCAAGGGUUCCUGUCCAACGUUAAUCGGGGCAGGGUGAGUCGACCCCUAAGGCGAGGCCGAAAGGCGUAGUCGAUGGGAAACGGGUUAAUAUUCCCGUACUUGGUGUUACUGCGAAGGGGGGACGGAGAAGGCUAUGUUGGCCGGGCGACGGUUGUCCCGGUUUAAGCGUGUAGGUGUGUGUUCCAGGUAAAUCCGGUUCACUUUAACACUGAGGCGUGACGACGAGGCACUACGGUGCUGAAGCAACAAAUGCCCUGCUUCCAGGAAAAGCCUCUAAGCAUCAGGUAACACGAAAUCGUACCCCAAACCGACACAGGUGGUCAGGUAGAGAAUACCAAGGCGCUUGAGAGAACUCGGGUGAAGGAACUAGGCAAAAUGGUGCCGUAACUUCGGGAGAAGGCACGCUGACACGUAGGUGAAGUGAUUUACUCAUGGAGCUGAAGUCAGUCGAAGAUACCAGCUGGCUGCAACUGUUUAUUAAAAACACAGCACUGUGCAAACACGAAAGUGGACGUAUACGGUGUGACGCCUGCCCGGUGCCGGAAGGUUAAUUGAUGGGGUCAGCGUAAGCGAAGCUCCUGAUCGAAGCCCCGGUAAACGGCGGCCGUAACUAUAACGGUCCUAAGGUAGCGAAAUUCCUUGUCGGGUAAGUUCCGACCUGCACGAAUGGCGUAAUGAUGGCCAGGCUGUCUCCACCCGAGACUCAGUGAAAUUGAACUCGCUGUGAAGAUGCAGUGUACCCGCGGCAAGACGGAAAGACCCCGUGAACCUUUACUAUAGCUUGACACUGAACAUUGAGCCUUGAUGUGUAGGAUAGGUGGGAGGCUUUGAAGUGUGGACGCCAGUCUGCAUGGAGCCGACCUUGAAAUACCACCCUUUAAUGUUUGAUGUUCUAACGUGGACCCGUAAUCCGGGUUGCGGACAGUGUCUGGUGGGUAGUUUGACUGGGGCGGUCUCCUCCUAAAGAGUAACGGAGGAGCACGAAGGUUGGCUAAUCCUGGUCGGACAUCAGGAGGUUAGUGCAAUGGCAUAAGCCAGCUUGACUGCGAGCGUGACGGCGCGAGCAGGUGCGAAAGCAGGUCAUAGUGAUCCGGUGGUUCUGAAUGGAAGGGCCAUCGCUCAACGGAUAAAAGGUACUCCGGGGAUAACAGGCUGAUACCGCCCAAGAGUUCAUAUCGACGGCGGUGUUUGGCACCUCGAUGUCGGCUCAUCACAUCCUGGGGCUGAAGUAGGUCCCAAGGGUAUGGCUGUUCGCCAUUUAAAGUGGUACGCGAGCUGGGUUUAGAACGUCGUGAGACAGUUCGGUCCCUAUCUGCCGUGGGCGCUGGAGAACUGAGGGGGGCUGCUCCUAGUACGAGAGGACCGGAGUGGACGCAUCACUGGUGUUCGGGUUGUCAUGCCAAUGGCACUGCCCGGUAGCUAAAUGCGGAAGAGAUAAGUGCUGAAAGCAUCUAAGCACGAAACUUGCCCCGAGAUGAGUUCUCCCUGAGACUUAGAGUCUCCUGAAGGAACGUUGAAGACGACGACGUUGAUAGGCCGGGUGUGUAAGCGCAGCGAUGCGUUGAGCUAACCGGUACUAAUGAACCGUGAGGCUUAACCUUACAACGCCGAAG